GGAGGGUGUCCAGCGACGCCUCGCAGCGGAAGAGCCGCUGGCGUGCCUCGUCACUCUUGGCCGUCAGAUUGCCCAGCGUGAAGAGCAGACGCACGACCAGAUCCUGUGGGAGCGAGGUGUCAGCAGGGGUCAAGAGUUUUCUCACACCUCUCGAGAGGAGGUGGCCGAUAACGGCCCGCAGCUCCCGCUAGUGCCUCGGCGCCGCUUGGUCGGUUACAUCACGAGCAGGUGCACUUGAACGCCGUCUAAUGCUGUCGUGCAGCGACACAGGAGGUGGACCACGACGACGUUUCCCGAGAGAAAUUUGAGCGUACCGGCGCCGUAAAACAGCGCUUCGCUGCAUGACGUCGCAUCCUCACGCAGCAGCAGCCCGACCAGCGAGUCUAGACGGAAGAAAAGCCUCCACACUCAAGACCUUCGAGCCGCUGCUGCCUUUAGCUGCUGGAGAAGAGACGCUAUCGUAUCCCAGCGUGAGUCUGCACCUGUGCUUGUGUUGUUCUUUCCACUCCCGCCCAAAUCUGAUGAGAGAAAGGGCCCAUUGGU